rnacentral:rRNA from 1 species
GACGAGGGGUCCAAGCGUUGUUCGGAAUCAUUGGGCGUAAAGCGGGUGUAGGCGGCUCUAUAAGUCAGAAGUGAAAGCCCCGGGCUUAACCCGGGAAGUGCUUUUGAUACUGCAGAGCUUGAAUGUGGGAGAGGGUAGUGGAAUUCCAGGUGUAGUGGUGAAAUACGUAGAUAUCUGGAGGAACACCGGUGGCGAAGGCGGCUACCUGGCCCAACAUUGACGCUGAGACCCGAAAGCAUGGGGAUCAAACAGG